rnacentral:rRNA from 1 species
ACGGGGUGCAGCAGGCGCGAAAACUUUACAAUGCGGGAAACCGUGAUAAGGGGACACCGAGUGCCAGCAUCAUAUGCUGGCUGUCCGGAUGUGUAAAAUACAUCCGUUAGCAAGGGCCGGGCAAGACCGGUGCCAGCCGCCGCGGUAACACCGGCGGCCCGAGUGGUGAUCGUGAUUAUUGGGUCUAAAGGGUCCGUAGCCGGUUUGGUCAGUCCUCCGGGAAAUCUGAUAGCUCAACUAUUAGGCUUUCGGGGGAUACUGCCAGACUUGGAACCGGGAGAGGUAAGAGGUACUACAGGGGUAGGAGUGAAAUCUUGUAAUCCCUGUGGGACCACCUGUGGCGAAGGCGUCUUACCAGAACGGGUUCGACGGUGAGGGACGAAAGCUGGGGGCACGAACCGGAUUAGAUACCCGUGUAGUCC